UGCCGCAGUAUUUUGACUGUGCAAAGGUAGCAUAAUAAUUAGUUUUUUAAUUAAGAACUGGUAUGAAUGAUUGGACAAGAAAAUUACUGUCUCUUUUUUAAUUUUUAUUGAAUUUUAUUUUUAAGUGAAAAAGCUUAAAUUUUUAUAAAAGACGAGAAGACCCUAUAGAGUUUGAUAUUNUUAGNUAUUUAAAUAUAGAAUUUUUUUUUGUUAAGGUUUAUUUAGUUGGGGUGAUUUGAAGAUUUAAUAAAUUCUUUAACAGAAAAAAUUAGUGAUUUCUAAAAUAAAAUUCUAUAAUUUGUAAGUUUAAAAUAAAUUACCUUAGGGAUAACAGCGUAAUUUUUCUUUAAAGUUCUUAUUAAAAGAAAAGUUUGCGACCUCGAUGUUGGAUUAAAAUUAAUUUUUGGUGCAAUAACUUAAAAAUUAGGUCUGUUCGACCUUUAAAAUUUUACAUGAUCUGAGUUUAAACCGGUGUAAACCAGGUUGGAUUCUAUCUUUAAAUAAUUAUUAUAUUUUAGUACGAAAGGACCAAAUAUUUAUUAAAUUA
rnacentral:rRNA from 1 species